AUUACUAACGCUGCUAUCAAAAUUACCGACAAAAUCAUCCGUAGUGUUCUUGCUAAUCGUAUGCCUGGCGAGCCUGCCGUAAAGUUAGAAUCGAAACUGUUCACAAUUUUAGGCGAACGAAAAACCCCAAAUGGUCUGAACAAUUCUGUGUUGGGAUCAGGUUGUGUGAAACUCCCAACUGUUGACAAUUUGCUGCCAAACGGAUUGAAAGAAAAGUUUGUCGACACUAAGUUUCUUCGUGCUAAAUCGAAUCCAUACAGGUGGGAUCCAACUUCAAUGUACAUAAACUCGGAUGUCGUGUCUCUCGAUUUGUACAGCCCAGAUGGAUCAGCCAUACCAGUAUCCAACAUUUCUCAAGAUAUUUCCAUUGACAUCGAGGUUAAAUAUGACUCACCCCUUUCAUCAGUGACCCUGAAUUCAACUUUCAACAAAAGUAUAUCAAUACAUUCAUUGGAAGUCCCAACAGUAGAGAAUAGUUUAUUAUUAUUAGUCAAACCAGAACUCGCCAAUGUCAGCCUAGAUGUGUUAAUACGUCACAAGCUUCCACCGACAGACACAGAAUAUGAUUUAUUUUUCACAGUACCAAUCCAACCAUCUAAUGACCAGAAUACAUCUGACUCUGAUUACACAGUGUUUGUUACUUCUGAGCAGGUGAAACAACUGGGAAACGGAACUUAUUUUAUUGGAAUAAGACCAUUUUCGGAACUCACUGAACAAUCGGUUGAUGAUUAUUAUGAUGCCUUAGAAAUGGCUCCAGCUGAUGUUCAAGAAAAUAUCACUGCUGACCCUUUUCCGAGCUAUCAGUUUCGUUUUAUUGUAUCUGGGUGUCGUUUCUGGGACACCAGACAAGAGAAAUGGUUGACCAAGGGGUGCAGGGUGAGUCCCGAGUCUACAAGAAAAUACACACGCUGUCUAUGCAAUCACCUGACGUCUUUCGGGACAGAUUUCUUCGUCCCCGUCAACAAAAUUAACUUUGACACUGUGUUUCUAAAUUUGGAUGAGAAGUUAAAGGAUAACUUUGCUGUUCUGGCUAUGCUCUGCUCAGUAUUCUCUCUAUAUUUUAUGCUUAUCAUUUGGGCUCGACGUCAAGACAAACGCGAUCUUCUUAAGUGGGGAGUAGUCCCUUUGAAGAGCAACAAGGCAAAGGAUUGCUAUUUUUAUACGAUAACCGUAUUUACAGGAGUGCGCAAAGGAGCGGGCACACUAUCCCGCAUCGGUUUUGUACUUACUGGAGAGCUUGGUGACACGGGUAUCAGACAGCUGGUGGACGAGAAGGAGUCAAAAGUCUUUAGUCGCGGUAGCAUCAAUCCAUACUUGCUAGGAGUACCAAAAUCUCUUGGUCCAUUAACCUAUCUUCGAAUUUGGCAUGAUGCUUCGGGAAAAGGAGAACAUGAAAGUUGGUACCUUCGGAAGGUUCACGUUAAGGAUUUACAGUCAUCUAAAACAUGUGUUUUCCUUUGUAAUCGUUGGUUGGCUGUGGAAUAUGACGAUGGUUUAAUCGAGCGUGUUUUACCAGUGGCCGCCCCUCAAGAUAUUAAAACUUUCCAAAAUUUGUUCUUCUCCAAAACUCACAAGAGUUUCUCCGAUGACCAUCUUUGGUUGUCUGUUUUCAUGCGUCCAACUCACAGUAAUUUCACACGUGUACAGCGAAUUUCUUCGAUACUUUCCGUGGUACUAAUGACCAUGCUUGCCAAUGCAGUGUUUUACAAAAGUGGUUCAGAAGCUACAAAAAGAAAAUAUGAGUUCACCAUAGUAGGAUCGGCAUCUAUCAAUUUACAGGCCUUAUAUAUCAGUUUCAUAAGCUGUUUGAUUGUACUUCCAGUUAACAUUGCUGUAGACCAGCUAUUCAGGAAAAGUAGGCCCAAAACCAAUUUAGUUAGCAGCAUCUGGGGAAAGCAACUUGAACAGACGAAACAGCAACCGAACAUCAACCAGUUAAAUAGUCCGAAUAUUUUAACUGAGAAAGCUAAUAGUAGCUUAAAUGUCAAAAUGGCCGACCAGUUAAGAGCUACUUCAGCAUUAUAUUCCAGGACACCCACAAUUCUGUGUGAAGACAAUCAAGCACAAUUUCAAGCUCUAUCGCCGGUUUUUCCAAUGCUAUCACACUUUUCAAACUGUGAGAUUGGUUCUAUAAGGGAAACUUAUAACAUCAGUAAAGAAACAAUGUCUUCGAAGAAACAGUCAAAGUGUUCGAAAGACAGCCUACCUCAUGGUUGUAUCUACAUCGGCUGGCUGCUGGUUUUUGCCAAUAUCGGAACAUCAGCAUUUUUAACGUUUUCCUAUAGCAUGGAAUGGGGUAAAGAAAAGUCCAACGCCUGGUUGACAUCUAUGUUCAUGUCGCUGGGAGAGAGUAUCACAGUCAUACAGCCAACUAAGAUUGUUAUUCUGUCUUUGAUUACUUCGUUGCUGUUGAAAAAACCUGAAGAAGAAAACUACGAGGAAAAGAAAGGACAGGAACGUCUUGGUGGUGCCAAAAGCCCUGUUGGUAACGACCAAAUUGGAGUUCACAUCAUCACAGAUCUCCACAACGAUGAGGAAUUAGUAGAUUAUCAACCGGAGAAAGAGUCGAUAAAUGCGACACCAAUUUAUACUCCAAAUAAAGAGGUACUGAAAAAACUACGCCAGAGUCGACUAAAGGACAUAAAAAUGAAACAGCUAAUUAAAGACAUGUGUUUUUACCUAACCUAUUUGGUCCUCCUAAUUAUUUUGGCAAGCAACAACCGAGAUCCGCGUUCGUACAUUAUCAAAGACACAUUGCUGAAUGUUCUUCAAGCGAAACACUUACCGAAGGUCAUUCGAUAUGCUCAGUUCUGGAAAUGGACCAAAGAAGUGGUUGUACCACAGACCUAUACAUCAACUUUGGCGAACGGUAAGAAUGCUACUCCGCAAGACUUCCAAAUGCUAUCCUGUGGAUCAGGAUACCGUGUGGGACCAGUGCGUUUGAGACAGCUGCGUGUUCGUGCAGGAAAAUGUCAUGCUCUCUCAAAAUUCCAUACUACCAGAGAAAAUUGUAAUCAGGAUUAUUCAUUUCACACCGAAGAUACGACAAAUUAUACUACAAGCUGGAAGGAAUUACAACAUGGAGACAAUCCUAUAAAAUUGCCAUUAAAUUCCGGUUGGCGAUAUCGACACUAUACUGAAAUUGGAGGAAUUCCCAUUGUAGGAGAAAAGGCUGUCUAUAGUAGUAAUGGUUAUUGUAAAGAUCUGACUGGAAGUCCAAGUAGAGCCAUGGCAGCACUUGAUGAACUGAUAAAGUUACGCUGGCUUGAUGAAAAUACAAGAGCGAUAUUUGUCGAAUUCACUCUGUACAAUCCCAAUAUCAACAUGUUUACUACAGUCACUGUGAUGUUUGAAACUCCGACCUUGGGUGGAAUGGCGUCUAACGUGAUUAUAAACACUUUUCGAUUAUAUCCGUAUACUGGCAAUUACGGUAUUUUCAUUUUGAUUGUCGAAAUUAUUUGUAUCAUUUUCAUUAUUAUUUUCAUCGAGCAGAAAAUCCAGACGGUUCGACGAUUGCAAAUGAAGUGUUUCAGUGAUUUCUGGAACAUCCUUCAGAUACUCAACUUGUGUUUCUCUAUCAUCGCAGCAACCACGUAUGUGAUGCGCCAUCUAUUCACCAUUUCGGCUAUAAAUACCGUAAAGAAAUUAAGAGGAGAUUUCUACAAUUUCCAGCAACUUUCUUUCUGGAGCGACGUCUUUACGAUAUUCCUCGCCUUGGCCAUCUUCCUCACGAUUUUGAACGUGAUUCACCUGUUACGCUUCAAUCGAAGAAUGUCCAUGCUGUCGCAGACUCUCCGGCAAUCAUCUAAAGACUUGUUUGCUUUCUCAUUCGUUUUUGCUGUGCUGUUUUUCAGUUACGCAUGCGUUGGUUACCUCUUAUUCGGGAAAGUUAUCACGAGCUAUUCAAGCAUUUCGAUAAGUAUAAUGACUCUGUUUAUGUCUAUCUUGGGACAGUACCAGUAUGAAUCAGUGCAAGCAGUCAACCACAUCCUGGGACCAAUCUAUUUCUUCUCUUGUACUAUGCUAGUUAAUUUUAUUCUAUUCAGUGUUUUUAUCACGAUACUGAACGAAACAUUCUCACUGGUACGAAGUAAUAUAUCGAAGCAGAUAAAUGAUUAUGAAAUAAUUGACUACAUUCACGAACAUGUCACGAAGUGGAUUGGUACAGACCAUGAUCACCUUUUCAAUAAACUUCUAAAUAAAAAAACCGAUAACGAGGUGACGUAUGUAAGAGACAGCACAAACAAAAUGAACCAACCAAAUGAACAGGCACAUGAAGAAGAAAAUAUCGACACAAAAAUUCAUGACAUCUUCAAACGGCUUGAUGCCCUCUAUUUGCAAAUAGGAGCAGAAAAACAUUGAAUAUCCUCCUACUUAAGCUUCACCGAUUUUCUUGCAAAUCUGAAAGGCUGCCAGUUAAUAUCAGACCAAAGCUGAGAGGAAAAAGAAAUAUGCUGUCAGCCAAGUUAUGUACAUUAACCCUUUUGCAUUCAGUUUACUGUCAAAUGUAAUGCUUAUUUAUUCACAUAGUUUCGGAUUAAUCAUGUUUUAUCUCUUAGCUACAAGAUUUCAAUGAUGUAAUUGUCUAUUUUUACAAUGACCAUUAAAGGGUAGGUGUGAGGUCAGAGCUGUCUUGAUAUGGUUGGUUUAAAUGCUAAAGGAAUCUAUAACCUUUUCUCCAGGAAAAUAUUAUGACUUUCAAUAGAUUUCAUUCAGGUUCUUUUUAUGGACAUUGAGCCAAUCAUGUCUAAAUAUAUUUCCAACAUAAGAGAGGUUUCAUGAUUCCAAUCGACAUGUCUGAAGAGUCACCAAUAUCGCUAAGUGCAAUAAUUGGCAUGAAACUGACAAUAACAUUCUGACCAGUUAUAUGCCAUAACCAAUAAUAUACUGUUCAGUCUAUAUACUACUAAAACUCUGUGACUGCUUGCUUGCAUGCAUGCUCGUCUGUAAUUUUAUACAGCCAAACUGGCACAUAAUGGGAAAAUACUCUGAAAGUAAGUACUCCUGAAAUGUGAAUACAAACGGAAUAAAACAAGUUUCACGUAAAUCAGACCACGGAUUCCAGAGAUGCGCGGUUUUUUGGGGGUACCUUCAUAAAUAGCCAAAACCCCGCAUAAUAGGAAAAUAAUCCAAAAGCAAUAUAACCCUAAAAAAUACAAAGUGUUUGUACAGUGAGUAUUUAUAUUUCAGCUUUCUUUAAACAGACAAUAUUUUAAUUAUUAAAAAGUGUUUUUAAAAGAAUAUGAUUUGAAAAAUAGGAGUUGUUUGUAGAGUAAAUAUCUAUAUUUAGCUUUCUUUCAACAGACAAUAUUUUAAUUAUUUAGAAAUAUUUUUAAGAGCCAGAGAAGGUGAGUAAGAUAGUGGUGAACGCCAACAAGAUCGGGACAGGGAUGCAAAUAGAAGGAUCUAUGAGACUGAUAAAGGAAGAGCUGAGCAUCUGGCAGAACAGAGGAAAAGAGAUAAAAGCAGAAGAGAUCAUGAAUCAGGUGCUCAGAGAGCUGAGCAUCUGGCAGAACAGGGAAAGAGACAGAAGCAGGAGAAAUCAUGAAUUGGAUGCUUGGAGAGCUGAGCAUCUGGUGGAACAGAGGGAAAGAGACAGAAGCAGGAGAGAUCAUGAACUGGAUGCUUGGAGAGCUGAGCAUCUGGCGGAACAGAGGCAGGAGAGAUCAUGAAUCAUAUGCUUUAAACAUGAACUUGUAAACCAAACCUAUGAUGACAGGAACGAAUUGAAAUAUUUAACUGAAUCAUCAUAAAAUUAAUUUUAAUUUCAAUGCAAUGAUACCAGCUCCAGCCAAACCUUCCAACCCAUGCCAGCAUGGAAAACAUAUUAAAUGAUGAUGAUAAUCCCUCUAUUUCUCAUAAAAUGAUAAUAAUGUAUAAAUAUGUGUGUGUGUUUGACAAUGAUUUUAGCUUUUAAACAAAAUAAAUAAGCCUUUCAUUAUAUCUUCUAAUGCAUCCAGCUGGAUAAUGGUUAUUCAUUAGAGAUGCAGUUAAGGGAUGUAACUUAUUCAUCUACAUCCCUAAGCCAAGUUGUUGGUGGAUACUGGACUCUUUCUUUAUUUUGAAGUGAUGACUAUAAACUGAGAUCUAUAGAUCAUAAAUUCCUGUUAUUGUCUACAAUGGCAUAUAUUCCUUAUUGUAGAUAUUUUCUUUUAUUUAUGCCCCUCAUUCAAGUAAUGAUGUAGAUCCUAAAAGAAAUAAUUCACACUAAAGUGGGAGAGUGACAGUUGUUCUUGGUGAUUUCAGAUAAACUCUGCCCAAUCAGAUCAACAGCUAUCUGAAAUUAUCUUAUUUCUGGCCCCACAUUCAGUGACUGAGCAUUAUCAUCAAUAUAUGAAUGGUCUUCAAUAGUGAUGAUGCUACUGGUAUGUUUGCCAUCUAGUUACUUAUAGGUGGGAAAUGGAUUUCCUGAAAGGGUUCUGCAAUGACCAAAUCCAAUUGUCCUUCAGCUACAUUAUUGAAUCAGAAAAAACUGACUGCUUCAGUCUUUCCAAACAUUCAUAUAUAGACACUGUGAUCCAACUGGUUCUGUGAUGGAGAAAACUUAGCACUAAAAAGAUGUCAUCAUCAUUUAAUGCCUAUUUUUCCAUGCUUACAUGGGCCAGAUAGAAUUCAUUAACCCUUUAGCAUUCAAGCUGGCCAUAUCAGGCCCAAAUAUUCUACCUGUUUUAUGUUCAAACUGACCAAAUUAGCCGCUCAUACCUUCUCUAUAACGUCAUUUUUAAAAAUAAACAAUUACAUCACCGAAAUCUGAAAGCUGUAAGAUAAUGCAGGAUAAAUUCCAAGCAAUGUGAAGAAAUAUGCA
rnacentral:misc_RNA from 1 species